rnacentral:rRNA from 1 species
UACGUAGGCAGCGAGCGUUGUUCGGAGUUACUGGGCGUAAAGCGUGCGUAGGCGGUUUUGUAAGUUUGGUGUGAAAUCUCCCGGCUCAACUGGGAGGGUGCGCCGAAAACUGCAAGGCUGGAGUGUGGGAGAGGUAGGCGGAAUUCCUGGUGUAGCGGUGAAAAUGCGUAGAUAUCAGGAGGAACACCUGUGGUGUAGACGGCUUACUGGACCAUGACUGACGCUGAGGCACGAAAGCGUGGGGAGCAAACAGG